rnacentral:tRNA from 1 species
GCCCCUGUAGCUCAGUGGAUUAGAGCGAUUCCGUCCUAAGGAAGAGGCCGUAGGUUCGAUUCCUACCAGGGGCACCA